AUUCACAAUUGGUGAUUAAACAGGUGAAUGGAGAAUACCGAUGUGAAAACUGGAAUUUGCAAAAUUACUUGAGAAAAACGAUAGAAUUACUCUGCAGUUUCGGAGAGAUUGAGUUUGAGCAUUUGACAAGAGAAGAAAAUGAACAGGCUAAUGAAUUAGCCCAAUCGGCAUUCAGGUAUAAAGAGUCGAAACGGGAUCAAGUGAAAAUAAAACGAAGAUUAUUACCAUCGGUUCAUAUAUGAGA
rnacentral:lncRNA from 1 species